UCCAAUGUGGUGUAGUGGCUAACAUUGCUGUCUUUCAUAGAGCAGCCGCCAAAAUGAAUUUCCACAGCAGCCCGGGGUUCGAUUCCCCGCAUUGGAA
rnacentral:tRNA from 1 species